rnacentral:lncRNA from 1 species
AAUCAUCCCACUUCCAUCAUGACUCUUGACAGGUUAUUAAAAUAUAUGUGUUCAUGUGGUUAAUUUUUGACCCGGGAAUGGAAGAUGGAGAAACGACAGCAGUGUUGAAAAGAAGGAACAGUUGUGUACGUGUGUCUACGCACGUAAGACGGAGCAGGCUUUGCCGUCUGCCUUUCGUUUUCCAGGUGGCUGGUUCUCCGAAGGAGUCGGCCACCAGGAGACGAAGCCACCGGUCAGAGGAAGCCCAACCUCGACAGCAGGACCUCCAGCCCACCGGUCACCGUCAGCAGCCGCUUCCUGGGACAGGACGUGUGAGCAGGGUCACGGCUGGGGAGCCAGGCCACCUUGACUCAGCACCCCUGUCUUCUGUUUCCUGGCUGUGCUGCAUUAGCACCAUUCACAACAGCCAAGAUGUGGAAGCCACCCAAGUGCCUAUCAACUGAUGAACAGAUGAAGAAGAUGUGGUAUAUUUAUACAGUGGAAUACUACUCAGCCAUGAACAAACAAAAUUGUGCCAUUUGCACCAUGGAUGGACUUUGAGGGUAUUAAACAAACACUCUACGAUUUCACUCAUAUGCAGAAGAGAAACUAACACAGGGAUAAGAGAACAGAUCAGUGGUUACCAGAGGGGAAG